rnacentral:rRNA from 1 species
AGAGUUUGAUCCUGGCUCAGAUUGAACGCUGGCGGCAGGCCUAACACAUGCAAGUCGAGCGGUAGCACAGAGAGCUUGCUCUCGGGUGACGAGCGGCGGACGGGUGAGUAAUGUCUGGGAAACUGCCUGAUGGAGGGGGAUAACUACUGGAAACGGUAGCUAAUACCGCAUAACGUCGCAAGACCAAAGUGGGGGACCUUCGGGCCUCAUGCCAUCAGAUGUGCCCAGAUGGGAUUAGCUGGUUGGUGGGGUAACGGCUCACCUAGGCGACGAUCCCUAGCUGGUCUGAGAGGAUGACCAGCCACACUGGAACUGAGACACGGUCCAGACUCCUACGGGAGGCAGCGGUGGGGAAUAUUGCACAAUGGGCGCAAGCCUGAUGCAGCCAUGCCGCGUGUGUGAAGAAGGCCUUCGGGUUGUAAAGCACUUUCAGCGGGGAGGAAGGCGGUGAGGUUAAUAACCUCAUCGAUUGACGUUACCCGCAGAAGAAGCACCGGCUAACUCCGUGCCAGCAGCCGCGGUAAUACGGAGGGUGCAAGCGUUAAUCGGAAUUACUGGGCGUAAAGCGCACGCAGGCGGUCUGUCAAGUCGGAUGUGAAAUCCCCGGGCUCAACCUGGGAACUGCAUUCGAAACUGGCAGGCUAGAGUCUUGUAGAGGGGGGUAGAAUUCCAGGUGUAGCGGUGAAAUGCGUAGAGAUCUGGAGGAAUACCGGUGGCGAAGGCGGCCCCCUGGACAAAGACUGACGCUCAGGUGCGAAAGCGUGGGGAGCAAACAGGAUUAGAUACCCUGGUAGUCCACGCUGUAAACGAUGUCGAUUUGGAGGUUGUGCCCUUGAGGCGUGGCUUCCGGAGCUAACGCGUUAAAUCGACCGCCUGGGGAGUACGGCCGCAAGGUUAAAACUCAAAUGAAUUGACGGGGGCCCGCACAAGCGGUGGAGCAUGUGGUUUAAUUCGAUGCAACGCGAAGAACCUUACCUGGUCUUGACAUCCACAGAACUUUCCAGAGAUGGAUUGGUGCCUUCGGGAACUGUGAGACAGGUGCUGCAUGGCUGUCGUCAGCUCGUGUUGUGAAAUGUUGGGUUAAGUCCCGCAACGAGCGCAACCCUUAUCCUUUGUUGCCAGCGGUUAGGCCGGGAACUCAAAGGAGACUGCCAGUGAUAAACUGGAGGAAGGUGGGGAUGACGUCAAGUCAUCAUGGCCCUUACGACCAGGGCUGCACACGUGCUACAAUGGCAUAUACAAAGAGAAGCGACCUCGCGAGAGCAAGCGGACCUCAUAAAGUAUGUCGUAGUCCGGAUUGGAGUCUGCAACUCGACUCCAUGAAGUCGGAAUCGCUAGUAAUCGUAGAUCAGAAUGCUACGGUGAAUACGUUCCCGGGCCUUGUACACACCGCCCGUCACACCAUGGGAGUGAGUUGCAAAAGAAGUAGGUAGCCUAACCUUCGGGAGGGCGCUUACCACUUUGUGAUUCAUGACUGGGGUGAAGUCGUAACAAGGUAGCC